UAUAAAAGGCCAUGGCAGAGGAGAACGCCUGACUUCUUGCUGCUUGCCUUCUCUCUCACUGGAAGAUCAUGGUAAAAAAUGUAGCAAUAAAGAUUUUAUGAUGUUUUAAUGCAUCAAAGGACAUCAUAUUAGCAAGGAGAAAGAUGUUAGGCUUCGAAGUUUGUUUGCCUUUGAAGAAUCUGAAGGAAGCAGCUUUCCCAGAGAGGCUAUCAGAGGAUCUGGAGUGACAUUCUAGAGAGAGCCUCCCUCCACUUGAAAGAGAUAUAUUGGGAUGGCUCAUCCGAGGCAGGACUUGAAGUUUGCUAAGUGCCACACCAGAAAUGUCACCUGUGAAGAUAUAUCUAUGUGAACUUGGAGUUCCUUCAGCACAGCAGCUUGCAUAGUAUCCUCUAGAACUGUGAGAGCCAGUCUCCAGGGAGAAGUCUUCCAGGUGGAUAUCCAGUUCUGCAGAGACUACUAAUUGAAUACAUUAUCAUUUUUCCUAGGCUGUCCUACUCCGACCUUGCCAUUGACUUCCUGAUCUGUCAGUCACAGACCUGCCAACUACCCUGCUGAGGAAUGGAAGCAACCUAAAUGUCCCUCAGCUGCUGAAUGGAUAAUGAAAAUGUGAUACAUUUACACAAUGGAGUUCUACUCAGUGGCAAAGAAAGACAAAACAUGAAAUUUGCAGCCCCCUCUCCCACGAAGAUCCCUGAGCCUUGAGGAGAAGGGUGUAACAAGGAUGUGCCAUUUGGGGUGAGCACUCUGCAGUCUAUUAUUUUCUGCAUGUUGAACAGCUAUUGUUCUCUGUGUUAAUUGCUUUCUAUUGCAAGAGGCUUUCUAUUGAUGAAGGUUGAGAGAUGCACUAAUAUACAGAUAUAGUAAUAAGUCAUUAGAAAUAAUUUUAAUACUAUGUCCAUAACUUUAAAAAAGUUUAAGGAUUAAUAAACUGUAAAAUAUCUCUAGAAUUUUUUUUAAAUUGUAAGAACUCUGAUAGUAUUGAGUCUAACAAAUAUUUUACAAAAUUAGGAUUUUUUAAAUAUAAGUAAUUCACUUUACAUUCAAUUAAUAGAAGUGAAUUAAAACUUUUUAUAUGAAAAGACAGAUUACAAAGUGGGAAAAAAAUCUUUGCUAGCUAUACAUCAGACAGGGUAUUAAUAUCUAGAAUAUAUUUAGAAAUUAAAAAACUAGUUAUAAAAAACAAAUAAAAAAAUCAAUUAAUGGGCAAUGAAGUCAAUAGUUUAUCCGUAUUUAUUGCACAAUAAACCACAAUGCUGCACAGCAGUGAAGUUAUAGAACCAGCCUAAAUGUUUGCCAACAGCUCAGUGGACAAAGAAAAUAUGGACAAGGAAAUAUUAUUUAGUCAUAAAGAAGAGCAAAAUUGUGCCAUUUGCAGAAUGACUCAACUGGAGGUCGUUACGUUAAAUGAAAUAA